rnacentral:rRNA from 1 species
UUUAGCAAGCACCUUUGUGUAAACUCUGUAUAAAGAGUAAAAUAUACAAAAUUGACGUGAUUAACCGAAAUCGGAAAAGCACUAAUGUUUGUUAAAUC